AGGGCAAUCUGGGAAAGUGGCCAAGCACGGUAUUAGGGAGCGAUGCACCCAGCCACAGCCUGCUGGAGGCAGCAGACCUCACCUUCCCCGGGCACUGGAUCAGGCUGUGCUGCUAUUCAAAAUGCUGCUGAGGAGCCAUGUAUUUAUUAUCUUUAAACAGCUCUCAAGCAGAUACUGAAACAGAUUGAUGAUGCCAAGUUGACAUAAACUAGAAGUGUUAAAUUCUGCUGCCAGUUUCAGAUGCUUUGAAAUACUUCAAAAGCAGAGCUCCACUGGCUCCAGAUUGAGGACUGUGCUAAGCACUGUAUACCUAUGUGAUGAAAAGUCCCUAUCUCAGCCAGCUUACAUCUCAAGUGUAAAAAGCUUCCUGUUGACCAAAUGAAUGCUCAGGAGAAACUGGGCAAAGGUCAUCAACGCAAUCCCUAGGAAGAUGUGAAAAUUACAAAGUCUAAUUAUUGUAGCUGUGCAAAUGAAGUGGGGACUGGCAAGAAAGAUGGCCAUAGUCCACUGAAGGACUAAUGAAAGUCUGCUAGCAGGAAUGUGUGGAGAAAGACAUGUAGCCUCAGGAAAAAAGAAAAAAAAAAAUAGCUUUCAAACAUAUAUAGCUUGUACUGAGCAUGUGGUGCU
rnacentral:lncRNA from 1 species